CCCCUCUCAGGAUCGCAUCUGGAGAGUUUCCAGUCCUCUGCCAGUCUCGGCUACGGGAGGGAGAGUCAAACGGAGACAUACCCAUUCCAUUCCUAGCUGGGGCAAGUGGCUAGUGAGUGGAAGGCUAUCUGCUACAAGU